rnacentral:lncRNA from 1 species
GAAGGUCAACCUAGAUGGAUUUUUCUUUGUCUUCGUAAAAUCUUGACCCGUGAUACUCAAUGAAGCCCAAAACUCUGUAAGUUUAUAUUUAAAUUGAGAAACAAGUAUCUAGCUGGAGUAAGGAAAAAAGGCUUUUUCAUAUACGAAUAUCUACAUUUUCCAUUGCGUGUUGCCUUUCCUCCCAUUCAUGACCAUAAAUUUCCACUGGAACAAGGAUAAAGGAUACAUUUGAGACAAGAACUAAAGGAUUAGAUUUGGGAUAUUACCCUCACUUGGUUAGAUUCUUGGCUUUAUAACUGGAAUUUUAGCCGCCAGCAUUUCUCUUGGAUGUGGCCAAGAGAAGAAGGGAUGGUGCUACAGAGAGAGAGAGGGAUUUUUUUUUAAUUUUUUUUGCCAGCUUCCUUCAGCUGAACUAGUAGAAAAUUAUCAACUAUACGUGCACCUCUAGAUUACAUAAUUAAAAAAAUAAAAAAAAAGGUUGAGAAAUUAAAUUGAACUGAAUAAUGGUACAACGUAAAGGAAAGGGUAAUAACAAUAAUUCUUACCUUAACAAAAUCAUAUUUGGAGAAGCUUUGCGAAUGGAGACUGGAAAGCUGCUGCUUUUUAUGUUUAAAAUCUUUGUCUUUUCUAGGCCUUGUCACUUUUUAAGUGUUGCCGCUGGAACAUUUUAUCGAAGAUCUUGCGCGCACGUUUGAAAGCUGCAUUUCCCUUUCUAUAAAAAUAAAACCUCACAUCCCAUUAUUUGCCGAAAGCUGAAUUUCCCUCCAUCCAAACAUAAAAUCCAUUAUCAAAUACACUUCUUCAUGCAACUAUUUUUCUUGAACCAUCAAACAAGAUGAAGAUUCAACGGACCUUCAAGAGGAUAGUGUCAUGCUGGUAAUCUGGUAUUAAAUCAUUUUCACUGCUGUUUAAGCAAUUUUUUUAUUACAGAUUGAGGUUUUUGGCGCACAUACGAGAAGAAAUUAUGUUCAAAUUAAGAAGAAAAGGUAGUGAAAUCAAUUCAUUAAUCCCCAUAUUAAAAUUUUUAAUAUGAGAUUAAACAAUAACUUUUAAUCACAUGUUUUUAUGCUACAUUUUAGGCGAUUUGGACUCUCAAUCUUGAAAAGUUAAAAAGAGUGUCUGAAGUUCAAAAAAAUUGUUUUAGACUAAUUUGAUUAAUUUUAUGAAAACUACCGGAUGUGAUUGCUAUAGACUCUUGUGUACAACAAGACACACAACCCUGUGCUGACAUUGUUUAAAGGCUGUACAAAUAGCUUUGCCAACUAACUUAAAAGAGUGGAUGGUCAACAGGUCAAGUACUAUUUAUUUUUGCACCCUCCAUUUCACAUUACUAAUUGGUUCCCACUAUUUACAAACCGGUUUGAUUAAUGUUCACUAUAUAGCUUCUAACCCUGCUUCAAUUUUUUGCAAAGAUCAUGUUACAUGAACAUUAAGAGCUACAUCGAAAGCUAUGUAAUGGACACGCGACACAUCGAUAUUGGUUGAGGCACCUGCCGCAACUCAAGCCCACAUGCGCCUCACCAAUCACGAGGCGCCAGAUGUUGAUUAUGUAACCCCUUAUGUUCAUCUAACAUUUUCCUUUUUUCAAUGCUUCUAUUUUUUUUUUUGUCCUUGUUUGUCAAUCAUUCUCUCACAUUUUCUCACUUACUUGUUUUUAAUCAUAUAUUUUUCAUUAAACUAAUAUUACAUAUGUAUCAAAAACUUUUUAUUUUUCUAACCACAUAUUUUAGCAUCAACUGCUAUUUCAUACUUCAAUUUUUUAAAUUGAAGGCACAAACAGGGCCUUUCUUCUCUGCAGCAAAAAGGAAAAGGCAAAAAGACCCUUGAACUUUUGGGCUGCAAUCUCCCCUUUCCGUUCCCCAAAAACACCUCCACCACCGUCGUCUUCGUCGGCCGUGCCACCUAAACACCACCAUCGGCUCUAUUUCUCUUUCUUCUACAUUACAACAAACAAAAGCAUAAAAUCCCUUGAACUUCCGUCUGCAAUCUCCCAUUUCCGUUCCCAAAAACACUUCCACCGCCGACAUCUUCAUCUACUGUGCCACCUAAACACCACCAUCGGCCCACCACUCAUUCAUCUACGAUUUCUUCCACGACGUCGUUUUACAACCCCAGCACGGCAUCCGCUACUACUCCUCCAAGUGAAGCUAAAGGAAAUGUCACCGUUACUGUACGAUUUCGGCUCCUCAGUUAAUGUAUUUCUUCUUUUCUUUAAAUUCGAUGACUCCUAGAUGUUGGUAGUAAGUGGGUUCCGCAAAUACGUAGGAUAGUUUCGUUAAUGGUGUUUGGAAGACUGAUUUUUUUGGUGUAUUUGUUGACUUGUUUGUUUUUGGGAUUCUUAGGUGAUGAUAUGAGGCAUAUUUUAGUUUUCAGUAUAAUCAAUUUUAGUAUUUCUUUUUUUCCAUGAAUUCUCUUUAUUAGGACUUCAGAAUUUGUUGCUACAUAGCUCGAGAUACAAGGACUUCAGAAUUGGUUGCUAUCAAAGUGAUAUCAUUAGCUGAAGGGGACCUAAUUAUAAUCCUUUUUUUUUAAUUGCAUAUAAUAAUACUACAUAAGUUUAGUGGAUGGAAUAUGAAGUUUGAAAUCUCAUAAUUAUAGGAUGGUUUUGAAGAAAUUCGUGGUGAAAUUGACCUAAUUAUAAUCCUUUUUUUUUAAUUGCAUAUAAUAAUACUACAUAAGUUUAGUGGAUGGAAUAUGAAGUUUGAAAUCUCAUAAUUAUAGGAUGGUUAUGAAGAAAUUCGUGGUGAAAUUGAGAUGUUGCAGCAAUGUAGUCACCCUAACAUUGUUUGCUAUCUAGGUAGCUACCAAGGAGAAGAAUAGCAUUGGGUAUGAAGAAGAUCAUCGGCCUUCAAUUAUAUAAUAAUUUUUUAUCUUUUUGGGAUGGUACCGAGACCAUGAUGCUGUGUACCCCCUCCUUUUGGUUUCUAAAUCAGAUGACAACUGUUAGUUAUUAACAUGAAUUUAAAUAUCUGAGAAUUUUGUAUUUGUUGGCAUAUUGUAAUGGAUUAUUUUGGGGGCAGGAGUGUUACUGACUUGAUGAAAGGCCUUAGCCUCUAGAGGAGUGUAAAAUAGCAAAUAUCUGCAGAGAGGCAUUGAAGGUACCAUCAUUUUGGUUAGUUAUAUUUCAAAAUCGAACUUUUUUAUCUUUAGUACAGAUUUGUAUAAAUGUGUCCUUAAAAAUGCUGGGAUUGUUAUUUGGUAAUAGGGAAUGAUUUUGUCCAUGAGAUAAUGCUUGACCAUCCAAGGUUAAAAUAUAUCAUGACUUGGCACGA